UACAGAGGGGGCAAGCGUUGUUCGGAAUUACUGGGCGUAAAGGGCGCGUAGGCGGCCAACUAAGUCAGACGUGAAAUCCCCAGGCUCAACCUGGGAACUGCGUCUGAUACUGGAUGGCUUGAGUUCGGGAGAGGGAAGUGGAAUUCCAGGUGUAGCGGUGAAAUUCGUAGAUAUUCGGAAGAACACCAGUGGCGAAGGCGGCUCACUGGACCGGCAUUGACGCUGAGGUGCGAAAGCGUGGGGAGCAAACAGG
rnacentral:rRNA from 1 species